rnacentral:rRNA from 1 species
UACGGAAGGCAGCAGUGGGGAAUAUUGCACAAUGGGCGCAAGCCUGAUGCAGCCAUGCCGCGUGUAUGAAAAAGGCCUUCGGGUUGUAAAGUACUUUCAGUCGUGAGGAAGGUGUUAAGGUUAAUAACCUUAGCAAUUGACGUUAGCGACAGAAGAAGCACCGGCUAACUCCGUGCCAGCAGCCGCGGUAAUACGGAGGGUGCGAGCGUUAAUCGGAAUUACUGGGCUAAAGGGCACGCAGGCGGUUAAUUAAGUUGGAUGUGAAAUCCCCGGGCUUAACCUGGGAAUGGCAUUCAAGACUGGUUAGCUAGAGUCUUGUAGAGGGGGUAGAAUUCCAUGUGUAGCGGUGAAAUGCGUAGAGAUGUGGAGGAAUACCGGUGGCGAAGGCGGCCCCUGGACAAAGACUGACGCUCAUGUGCGAAAGCGUGGGGAGCGAAACAGGGAUUAGAUACC